rnacentral:rRNA from 1 species
UGUGAACAUACCUACCGUUGCUUCGGCGGACUCGCCCCGGCGUCCGGGCGGCCUCGCGCCGCCCGCGGCCCGGACCCAGGCGGCCGCCGGAGACCCCCCAACUCUGUUUCCAUCAGCAUCUUCUGAAUCUGCCGCGAGGCGAACAAACAAAUUAAAACUUUCAACAACGGAUCUCUUGGCUCUGGCAUCGAUGAAGAACGCAGCGAAAUGCGAUAAGUAAUGUGAAUUGCAGAAUUCAGUGAACCAUCGAAUCUUUGAACGCACAUUGCGCCCGCCAGCAUUCUGGCGGGCAUGCCUGUUCGAGCGUCAUUACAACCCUCGACCUCCCCCCGGGGCGGUCGGCGUUGGGGAACGGCAGCACACCGCCGGCCCUGAAAUGGAGUGGCGGCCCGUCCGCGGCGACCUCUGCGUAGUAAUCCAGCUCGCACCGGGAACCCGACGCGGCCACGCCGUAAAACACCCAACCUUCUGAACGUUGACCUCGGAUCA